rnacentral:lncRNA from 1 species
UCUGUUGUUGAUGUUUAUGUAUGUAAUUUAAUUACAUAAGCACUCGUCAAGUUUCAGGAGAAACUGAGCUAGAACGGAGAAGUUACACGAUCUCCAAGUUUCACUUAAAGUGAAUAGUAACUCGGUUUUCCGGAGAAGCCACGAUGUGAAGUUGGCUUCAGGCUCGUAUCGGACUCCGUUCAUAGUAGUCUAUUAGCUCGUUUCGACCGGUUCAGCUGUUCUGGAACUUUUGGCGCUGACGAAUUUUGAGUUUGACGCACGGAUUUCGAGAAAAUCCAAAAAUACAUGUUUUAUAUGUAUUUGUGCGUUGUUUCUUCAGUUGGAAGAAAGAUUGGAUUUUGUCGUGAAUCUGUGGUCGAUCGAGAUGAAUCGAAAUCGUAGCUUUGUUGUCUCCGUCGUGCUGAUCGCACUGGUGCGAUCCGUUCGCAAAUCUGACGGACGGAUCUGCGGAGAUUGCCCGUUGAUCGAGGAGAGGUCGGUGAUGGUAAAAUGGUAAUUUUGCAAAAGUCGCGACAUUUUAUGUACCGUUUCGUAUGAGAUCGCUCAUGGAGGGGUAUUCAUGCGUU